AAUGUCAUCACAACUUAAGUCUGCAAAUCAGCAACUCCGCUGAUCAACCACAAAGUAAUAAGGAGUAACAGCCUAGGAAGUUAUGUUAUUGAACCAGUGGGCAAACGUCUAUCUGAGUGUAAUGCGUUGAUUUGUCACACUUGUGUGAAACCUUUACUGUUUCUUGACUUCCAUGUACUAAAAGUCCCCAUUUAGGACAAUAGCUAUGAGUAAAAAAAUAGGCUGUUCUCCAGAAGAAUCAUAUGCAGACACCUUUGCUUCUGAUUCUUGGUGCAUUUGUCUUUCAUUGUAACAGUGAUACAUUCAAUUGUGUCACAAUUGCCCUUUAAUUUGGAGCAACACCAACUGUAGCCAGCUACUCACAGGAGGGGCUGCACCACCCUGGGGCGUUUUCAGGAACAUUGGCUCACCCUCUAUCAGUGUCAGUGAUAAUGCUGGGAUAAAACACCACAGGAUGCAGAAUGCUAAUGCUAAUCACAUGCUGCUGCUGAUACUGAUACCAAUAGCAACACUAAUGCCAAUAGUACCACCAACGCCAGUGCUAAUGCUAGUACUAAUGAGUGACAUAUGGAAUGAUUAUCAACUUGGAUGUUUGAGGAUUGGCAGCAUUAGCUCCACCACUGCAGAGUUCUGAAGGGGAGCACUGUCAUGCCUGAUGCAGGGGGACCACGCUGGUUGGAGACGCUGAAAUGGAAGGGGAGGGGGAAAAGAAGAUCGUGCCCACGUCAAACCCUCCAGGUGAAAAAACAAAGCAAAUCUGAAACGCAUUUUGCUUUUGGAGUAACAAAAAAGUAA
rnacentral:lncRNA from 1 species